rnacentral:rRNA from 1 species
UCUUGGUCAUUUAGAGGAAGUAAAAGUCGUAACAAGGUCUCCGUUGGUGAACCAGCGGAGGGAUCAUUACCGAGUUAUCAACUCCCAAACCCCUGUGAACAUACCUGAACGUUGCUUCGGCGGGACCGCCCCGGCGCCCUCAUCGGCCCGGAACCAGGCGCCCGCCGGAGGACCCAAACUCUUGUAUUAUAGUGGCAUAUUCUGAGUCUCACAAGAAAAUGAAUCAAAACUUUCAACAACGGAUCUCUUGGCUCUGGCAUCGAUGAAGAACGCAGCGAAAUGCGAUAAGUAAUGUGAAUUGCAGAAUUCAGUGAAUCAUCGAAUCUUUGAACGCACAUUGCGCCCGCCAGUAUUCUGGCGGGCAUGCCUGUUCGAGCGUCAUUUCAACCCUCAAGCCCCAGCGGCUUGGUGUUGGGGACCGGCCCCGGCCGCCCCCCAAAUGCAGUGGCGACCUCGCCGCAGCCUCCCCUGCGUAGUAGCACAACCUCGCACCGGAGCGCGGAGACGGUCACGCCGUAAAACGCCCAACUUCUUUAGAGUUGACCUCGGAUCAGGUAGGAAUACCCGCUGAACUUAAGCAUAUCAAUAAGCGGAGGAA